rnacentral:lncRNA from 1 species
UGAGUUUGAAUCCCACCUUUCUCUCUCUAAAAAUUUUAUUUUCUCUCUCUAUUUUCUCUUUCUAUGAAUUUUCUCUCUCUAAAAUUAUGCUCUCUCUUUAUGGAUUCUUCUCUCUAAGAUUAGUUUAGUGAAUAAUUUUUUUUUUGAUGAUUUUUAAUCGAGCUUAGUGAAGGAUCCUGAUCUGCGAUCGCUAAACAGCAUGCUGGCACCCACCUUGACUA